rnacentral:rRNA from 7 species
UCGCCGUUUAAAGUGGUACGCGAGCUGGGUUUAGAACGUCGUGAGACAGUUCGGUCCCUAUCUGCCGUGGGCGCUGGAGAAUUGAGGGGGGUUGCUCCUAGUACGAGAGGACCGGAGUGAACGCACCGCUGGUGUUCGGGUUGUCAUGCCAAUGGCACUGCCCGGUAGCUAAGUGCGGAAAAGAUAAGUGCUGAAAGCAUCUAAGCACGAAACUUGCCCCGAGAUGAGUUCUCCCUGACUCCCAGAGAGUCCUGAAGGGACGUUGAAGACGACGACGUUGAUAGGCCGGGUGUGUAAGCGCAGCGAUGCGUUGAGCUAACCGGUACUAAUGACCCGUGAGGCUUAACCUUACAACGCCAGAGGCGUUU